AAAAAGGUAAGCUAAGUAAAGCUAAUGGGUUCAUACCCCAUUUAUGGAAGAAAGGCUUCCUCUUUUUA
rnacentral:tRNA from 1 species